rfam:Colius striatus contig70835, whole genome shotgun sequence.
UUGCACUGUUCGUAACCUAUUGACAGCAUAUUUCUGUGGAUAGGUUCCAUUCCGGUGCUACAUUAAAUCCAGUAAUGGAAGGCUGACAAAUUCCAUGUCCCUUCUGAAUUUGGACACAAAA